CACCAGCCCCCCGAGUUGUGGGGAUACUUAUUUGGUCUAAAGCGUCCGUAGCCGGCCCGGUAAAUCUCUCGUUAAAUCCAGCGUCCUAAGCGUUGGGCUGCGAGGGAGACUGCCAGGCUAGAGGGUGGGAGAGGUCAGCGGUAUUUCUGGGGUAGGGGCGAAAUCCAUUGAUCCCAGGAGGACCACCAGUGGCGAAGGCUGCUGACUAGAACACGCCUGACGGUGAGGGACGAAAGCUGGGGUAGCGAAUCGGAUUAGAUACCCGAGUAGUCCCAGCCGUAAACGAUGCAGGCUAGGUGUUGGGUCGGCCACGCGCCGGCUCAGUGCCACAGGGAAGCCAUUAAGCCUGCCACCGUGGGGAGUACGGCCGCAAGGCUGAAACUUAAAGGAUUGGCGGGAGAGCACCACCAGGCGUGAAGCCUGCGGUUU
rnacentral:rRNA from 1 species